GACGAACGCUGGCGGCGUGCCUAAUACAUGCAAGUAGGACGCAGUUGCGAACGGGUGAGUAACGCGUAGGUAACUACCUAUUAGAGGGGGAUAACUAUUGGAAACGAUAGCUAAUACCGCAUACUAGUAGAUGGACCUGCAUUGUCUUAGCUAGUCGGUAGGGUAAUGGCCUACCUAGGCAAUGUUACAUAGCCGACCUGAGAGGAGGAUCGGCAACACUGGGACUGAGACACGGCCCAGACUCCUACGGGAGGCAGCAGGAGGGAAGAUUGGGCAAUGGGCGAAAGUCUGAUCGAGCAACGCCGCGUGAGUGAAGAAGGUUUUCGGGUCGUAAAACACUGUUGUUGGAGAAGCGGUAUCUAACCAAAAAGCCACGGCUAACUACGUGCCAGCAGCCGCGGUAAUAC
rnacentral:rRNA from 1 species